UCCGAGAAAGCGGGAGCAAUCUCGCAAGUAAAGUGGCGUACGGGUGAGUAACACGUGGGUAAUCUACCCUUUAGUGUGGAAUAACCCUGGGAAACCGGGGCUAAUACCGCAUAAUCCCGAGAGGGGAAAGGAGCAAUCCGCUGAAGGAGGAGCCCGCGGCCGAUUAGCUAGUUGGAGGGGUAAGAGCCCACCAAGGCAAAGAUCGGUAGCCGGCCUGAGAGGGCACACGGCCACACUGGCACUGAAACACGGGCCAGACUCCUACGGGAGGCAGCAGUGGGGAAUCUUGCACAAUGGGGGAAACCCUGAUGCAGCGACGCCGCGUGAACGAUGAAGCCCUUCGGGGUGUAAAGUUCUUUCGGCAGGGACGAUUAUGACGGUACCUGCAGAAGCAGCUGCGGCUAACUACGUGCCAGCAGCCGCGGUAAUACGUAGGCAGCGAGCGUUGUUCGGAGUUACUGGGCGUAAAGGGUGCGUAGGCGGUUCUUUAAGUUUGGUGUGAAAUCUCCCGGCUUAACUGGGAGGGUGCGCCGGAUACUGAGGGACUAGAGUACGGGAAGGGAAAGUGGAAUUCCUGGUGUAGCGGUGAAAUGCGUAGAUAUCAGGAGGAACACCGGUAGUGUAAACGGCUUUCUGGACCGUAACUGACGCUGAGGCACGAAAGCGUGGGGAGCAAACAGGAUUAGAUACCCUGGUAGUCCACGCCCUAAACGAUGCAUGUUUGGUGUGGGUGAUUCAGUUCAUCUGUGCCGGAGCUAACGCGUUAAACAUGCCGCCUGGGGAGUACAGUCGCAAGGCUGAAACUCAAAGGAAUUGACGGGGGCCCGCACAGCGGUGGAGCAUGUGGUUCAAUUCGACGCAACGCGAAGAA
rnacentral:rRNA from 1 species